UUGUUGGUGCCAGAAGGGCUGGUCUGAGUAUUUCAGAAACUGCUGAUCUACUGGGAUUUUCACGCACUACCAUCUCUAGGGUUUACAGAGAAUGGUCCGAAAAAGAAAAAAUAUCCAGUGGGCGGAAAUGCCUUGUUGAUGCCAGAGGUCAGAGGAGAAUGGCCAGACUGGUUUGAGCUGAUAGAAAGGCAACAGUGACUCAAAUAACCACCCAUUACAACCAAGGUAGGCAGAAGAGCAUCUCUGAACACACAGUACGUCAAACUUUGAGGCAGAUGGGCUACAGCAGCAGAAGACCACGCCGGGUGCCACUCCUUUCAGCUAAGAACAGGAAACUGAGGCUACAAUUUGCACAAGCUCAUCGAAAUUGGACAAUAGAAGAUUGGAAAAACGUUGCCUGGUCUGAUGAGUCUCGAUUUCUGCUGCGACAUUCGGAUGGUAGGGUCAGAAUUUGGCGUCAACAACAUGAAAGCAUGGAUCCAUCCUGCCUUGUAUCAACGGUUCAGGCUGGUGGUGGUGGUGUCAUGGUGUGGGGAAUAUUUUCUUGGCACUCUUUGGGCCCCUUGGUACCAAUUGAGCAUCGUUGCAACGCCACAGCCUACCUGAGUAUUGUUGCUGACCAUGUCCAUCCCUUUAUGACCACAAUGUACCCAACUUCUGAUGGCUACUUUCAGCAGGAUAAUGCGCCAUGUCAUAAAGCUGGAAUCAUCUCAGACUGGUUUCUUGAACAUGACAAUGAGUUCACUGUACUCAAAUGGCCUCCACAGUCACCAGAUCUCAAUCCAAUAGAGCAUCUUUGGGAUGUGGUGGAACGGGAGAUUCGCAUCAUGGAUGUGCAGCCGACAAAUCUGCGGCAACUGUGUGAUGCCAUCAUGUCAAUAUGGACCAAGCUCUCUGAGGAAUGCUUCCAGCACCCUGUUGAAUCUAUGCCACGAAGAAUUGAGGCAGUUCUGAAGGCAAAAGGGGGUCCAACCCGUUACUAGCAUGGUGUACCUAAUAAAGUGGCCGGUGAGUGUAUAUAACCAGCCUCUACCUGUCACUGCUGUGAAGGGUAGGUACACUAAAGAAACAAUUGUGUUACUCUGUGGCUGAUACAUUUCAGCACGACAGGAGGAGAUUUUUUUUUACAUAUUUUUGUUUUGUUGUUAAACACUUACAAGUUAUUUCCACAAAACAAUAGCCACACAGGAGUGGGCCCCCAUGAGGCCACUGAUAACAUACACAUUUUUGUAUUAAGUGAGUGGCCGUGCAAAAUGCUCCUGUCUGAAGAGGAAGAAGAGAGUCAAUGUGCAGAAAAUAAAUAAUAAAAGACAUUUUUAAUGGUAAAAAUGUAUAAAUGAAGUAUCAUACUUAUUGUGCAUUACAGGAGCUUUUCUCCUCAAAGGCUACCGUGGCUGUAGCAGCGUGAGGGGUGAGCAAGAGAGAGUGUCAGUCAGGAAACUGACCCCUAGUUAUCACUAAAUAUUCCCUUUUUACACACAGCAUUUAUAAAGUGAAUAAAUAUGUAAAAAUUACAUUCCUAGACACAAAGGAACUCAACAAAGCCAUGUUGCUGCAAGAGCAGCAUAUUGCAGCUCCAGUAUUAUCCUCCUUUUUAAUCCAGAACCUUUUCUUUCAGUGGUUCAUUGUUGUGACUGAAUCCUGAACACUUUGUACAAAACCCAAUUCCAUUCAAGUUGGGAAAUCAUGAUAAAUGUAAAUAAAAAAGAAUACAAUGAUUAGCAAAUCCUUUUUAACCUACACUACAGGCCAAAAGUUUGGAAGCAAGGCCAUUACAGGCUGAACAGUUGGGAGUAACUUCAAGUUUUUGUUCACAAUGCUUUUUUCAAAAUCCAGCAUGAGUUUUAUGUAUUUUGGGAUGUAUUUACUCCAUGAUCAGAUGUUGCUUUCAUGGAAAUGCACCAUUUUACUCCAUUUACCUUUAGAUAUACUUUGAUGUUAACAGACCAUUGCUAAAUAUAUGUCAGCAAAAGAUAAUAAAGGCUUAGUUUUAGGGUUAAAAGCAUUUGCAAGAGUCACAACUUCAGUGCAAAAGCAAAAAAACAAAUCACAGUUGGAUUAUUUACUUCAACUUUUUUGCUUUUGAGAGUCUGCAUACAAAAAUCCUAAUAAAUCUCAACUGCGUUCAAACUACCGCAAAAAUGGCUAGAAAGAAGCAACUGAGUAAAGAAACAAAAGUACAGAUUUUUACAUUGAGGAAAGAAGGAUACACAGAAAGAGAAAUUGCAAAACAAAAGUGUUUAACAAAGGAGUCCACUACACUCUGAAGAGACUAGAGGAACCUGGAAGUUAUGAUGAUAGAAAAAGACCUGGACGAAAGAGAGUUACUACAAAAGCAGAGGAUAAACAUAUUAUUGUCAUCAGUAAGAGAGAUCAGCGAAAGACAGCACCAAAAAUAAGGGAGAAAAUCAACAUGAUAAGGCCGAAACCCAUAUCUCUGACAACCGUGGAAAGACGUUUGUGAAAGGCUGGUCUGAAAGGUUGUGCAAAAAAAACACUACUUUGUCCACAGAGCAAUAAAAAGAGGUAUGAGUGGGAAAAAGCUCACAAAAAUUGGACUUAAACAAGUUUGCACUGUUUGGUUCAAAACGCAGAGCCCAUGUCUGCAGACAAACUGGUGAACGUCUGAAAGCACCAUCUGUUACACCCACAAUUCAGCAUGGAGGUGGUAGUUCCAUGGUAUGGGGAUGUUUUGCAGGUGAUAGAGUAGGAGAUUUGUUUGAAGUAAAGGGUAUCAUGAAGAAGGAACAGUACCACUCCAUCCUCCAGCACCAUGCUGUUCCAUCUGGACUCAGACUUGUGGCUCAUAAGUUUGUUUUGCAGCAAGACAAUGACCCUAAGCACUCUGCCAAGCUCUGUCAGGGUUACCUUGACAAAAAAGAAGAGGAAGGUGUGCUUCAAAAGAUGGUUUGGCCCCCUCAGUCUCUAGACCUUUCUCCAAUUGAGCUUGUGUGGGAUGAAUUGGAUCAAUCGGUCAGAAAAACGCAUCCCACAAAUCAGCAGUCUCUUUUUUAAUAAACUAAGCUUGGAAUGCAAUCCCUGGAACAUACCUUAAAAAACUUGUGGAACGAAUGCCUGGUAUGCCAAGCUAUUCUUAAAGCCAGAGUUGGUUACUUUAAAGAAAGCGAAGUCUAAGCAACAAUAACUGUAAUACCUAAUAAUUAUAGUCAAAAUGUCUUCUGAUAAGUUACUCUUUACACAAUAGUCAUGUUUCUUGUGUUGCAAAUAAUAUAUAUGAGACUAUGAUCUUUUUUGUACAAAUCUGAUCUUGCCUCUGAACCUAUGGCCUGUAGUGUAUAUUCAAUUAAAUACACUACAAAGACAAAAUAUUUAAUGUUCAAACUCAUAAACUUUUUUUUUUUUUUUUUUUUUUUUGCAAAUAUGGUUAACUCAGAAUUUCAUGGCUGCAACACAUGCCAAAGUAGUUUUUAGAGGGGCAUGUUUACCACUGUGUUACAUCACCUUUCCUUUUAACAACACUCAAUAAACGUUUGGGAACUGAGGAGACUAAUUGUUGAAGAUUUGAAGGUGGAAUUCUUUCCCAUUCUUGCUUGAUGUACAGCUUAAUUUGUUUGGGGUCUUCGUUGUUGUAUUAUACACUUCAUAAUGCGCCAUACAUUUUCAAUGGGAGACAGGUCUGAACUGCAGGCAGGCCAGUCGAGUACCUGCACUUUUUUACUACGAAGCCACGCUGUUGUAAAACACAUGCAGAAUGUGGCUUGGUAUUGUCUUGCUGAAAUAAGCAGGGGCGUCCAUGAAAAAGAUGUUACUUGGAUGGCAGCAUAUGUUGCUCCAAAACCUGUAUGUACCUUUCAGCAUUAAUGUUGCCUUCACAGAUGUGAAAGUUACCCAUGCCUCGGGCACUAAUGCACCCCCAUAUCAUCACAGAUUCUGGCUUUUGAACUUUGCGUUGAUAACAGUCCGGAUGGUUCUUUUCCUCUUUGGCCCGGAGGACACGAUGUCCACUAUUUCCCCAAAAAAUUUGAAAUGUGGACUCAUCAGACCACAGAACACUUUUCCACUUUGCAUCAGUCCAUCUUAGAUGAGCUUUGGCCCAGAGAAGCCAGCGGCGUUUCUGGAUCUUGUUAAUAAGUGGCUUUUGCUUGACAUAGUGGAGUUUUAACUUACACUUACAGAUGUAGCGACAAACUGUAUUUACUGACAGUGGUUUUCUGAAGUGAUCCUGAGCCCAUGUGGUGAUAUCCUUUACACAUUGAUGUCAGUUUUUGAUACAAUGCCACCUGAGGGAUCGAAGGUCACGGGCAUUCAAUGUUGGUUUCCGGCCGUGCUGCUUAUGUGCAGUGAUUUCUCCAGAUUCUCUGAACCUUCUGAUGAUGCUAUGGACUGUAGAUGUUGAAAUCCCUACAUUCCUUGCAAUUGUACUUUGAGAAAAGUUGUUCUUAAACUGUUUGACUACUUGCUCACGCAGUUGUUCACAAAGUGGUGAACCUCGCCCCAUCCUUGCUUGUGAAUGACUGAGAUUUUUUGCGGAAGCUGCUUUUAUACCAAAUCAUGGCACCCACCUGUUCUCAAUUAGCCUGCUCACCUGUGGGAAAUAGGUGUUUGAUGAGCAUUCCUUAUAUUUCUCAGUAUUUUUUGCCACCUUUCCCAACUUCUUUGUCACAUGUUGCUGCCAUCGAUUCUGAAGCUAAUGAUUAUUUGCAAAUUUAUCAGUUUGAACAUUAAAUAUGUUGUCUUUGGAGUGUGUUCAGUUGAAUAUGGGUUGAAAAGGAUUUGCAAAUCAUUAUAUUCCGUUUUUAUUUAAGAUUUACACAUCUCCCAACUUCAUUGGAAUUGGGUUUUGUACAUGCAGCUCUGAUGAAAAAGUUCCUGAAUCACUCUGUGGAUUAAUAUGUAUAUGAAUGGCUUGAAAUAAUUCUGUUAUUUCCAAGAAACACUCAUGUUUUUUUCAGAUAUUCUUGGGUAUUUUUACCUCUAUUCGAUAAGACAGCUGAAAAGACACUGGAAAUGUUUGGGGUAGAAAAUGGGACACGACAUGCAGCAAAAGGUCAGAGCUGGGAAUAGUACCAGCGACCACUACGAUGAGGUCUACAGCCUCUAUAUGUGGGGCACUUAGACCCUUCGGACCCAAGUUCUCAUUUUUAUUUCUCUGUUAGCAUUCAUCUUGUCAUUUUGUAAAGACAACUAACUAUAACCAGAAUACUAUUGGAAGUAUGUAAAAAUUAUGUUUUAUUAGUUGUGUUUCAUCACUGUCAUCACUCCAAAUAAAUAGUUAUAUUCAUGUUAA